UUUGCCGGGGCAGGCAGGAAAAGCUCGGAGGGGGCAGCCGCUCCGAGAACGACACAGACCCUCGCCGAGCCCGUCCCUCUUCCCUCCUUUUGGUUGCGCCGCCAAUUCCUCCUCCCCCUCGCACGUGGUCAUUCACGCUUUCUUCCUCCGAAUUCCUGACAGGAGGAGCCCGCCCGCAAUUAUUUAUACCGUCAACAAAUCCCCCCCGAAGGGUAAUCACCUACCGCAGCAGGGCUGGAUCCAUUGGGCGAGAAACGGGUGAUGGCUGAGCGGAGUUACCCUCGACAUCUAUGGGAGGGCGGAGGAAAUGGUUCUCUUUAUUUCUCCCCAAUGCCGCGGAAAAGGGUGUCCUUGCAAGGAGAAGAUAUAUGGAGCACAAGCAGAUGAUCUCUCAUACUGUCCUUGGCUGCAGAGAUUCCAUUGGUCCAGGUUCACCACCAGGUCAUCAGUCUUGGCUGAAGUGCAUUUUUCCUUCAGAGAUGUGUUAACUCACCAUUCCUUACCUGGAAGUCAAUAUUUUAGUAGUGAGAAUUCCUCCCUCUCUGAGAUGCAUGGUUCAAAAAUAUGUAAAAUAAGUAAAUAAAUGCUAACAUUUGGCUCCAA